AGUGAACGCUGGCGGCAGGCCUAAUACAUGCAAGUCGAACGGCAGCAUAGCAGAGCUUGCUCUGUGGGUGGCGAGUGGCGGACGGGUGAGGAAUACGUGGGAAUCUGCCCAGUCGUGGGGAUAACGUAGGGAAACUUACGCUAAUACCGCAUGCGCCCUUCGGGGAAAGCCGGGGACCUUCGGGCCUGGCGCGAUUGGAUGAGCCCACGUCGGAUUAGCUAGUUGGCGGGUAAAGGCCCACCAAGGCGACGAUCCGUAGCUGGUCUGAGAGGAUGAUCAGCCACACUGGAACUGAGACACGGUCCAGACUCCUACGGGAGGCAGCAGUAGGGAAUAUUGGACAAUGGGCGCAAGCCUGAUCCAGCCAUGCCGCGUGAGUGAAGAAGGCCCUCGGGUUGUAAAGCUCUUUUGUCCGGAAAGAAAAGCGCCGGGUUAAUACCCUGGUGUCCUGACGGUACCGGAAGAAUAAGCACCGGCUAACUUCGUGCCAGCAGCCGCGGUAAU
rnacentral:rRNA from 1 species